rfam:Bacillus sp. OV166 genome assembly, contig: Ga0115450_11
CGGCGAGGCUCCCUGUCCGUUAUCGAUGGGGGCACUCGAUUGUGCUGUGGGUCCAUCAGAGGACCUUAGACGCAUGUCGUCAAAAGCAUGAUGUGAGGCCGGGUUAAAUGCCCA